rnacentral:rRNA from 1 species
AGAGUUUGAUCAUGGCUCAGAUUGAACGCUGGCGGCAGGCCUAACACAUGCAAGUCGAGCGGCAGCGGGAAAGUAGCUUGCUACUUUUGCCGGCGAGCGGCGGACGGGUGAGUAAUGCCUGGGGAUCUGCCCAGUCGAGGGGGAUAACUACUGGAAACGGUAGCUAAUACCGCAUACGCCCUACGGGGGAAAGCAGGGGACCUUCGGGCCUUGCGCGAUUGGAUGAACCCAGGUGGGAUUAGCUAGUUGGUGAGGUAAUGGCUCACCAAGGCGACGAUCCCUAGCUGGUCUGAGAGGAUGAUCAGCCACACUGGAACUGAGACACGGUCCAGACUCCUACGGGAGGCAGCAGUGGGGAAUAUUGCACAAUGGGGGAAACCCUGAUGCAGCCAUGCCGCGUGUGUGAAGAAGGCCUUCGGGUUGUAAAGCACUUUCAGCGAGGAGGAAAGGUUGGUAGCUAAUAACUGCCAGCUGUGAAGUACUCGCAGAA